rnacentral:tRNA from 198 species
CUCGCCGUAGUUAAAUGGAUAUAACCGGCCCCUCCUAAGGGUCAAUUGGUGGUUCGAUUCCACCCGGCGAGGCCA